rnacentral:lncRNA from 1 species
GUGACUACUGAGCAAGGAGGCCAGGCUCAGCCUGAGGCCAGACUUCCAGAGGGGCUAUUAAGAGCACUACCUGGGUUCGGCUGGCUCGCAGAAGAAGGAAGCAGAGGCAUUGGCUGAACAAGAUGUAGCAAGAGAAGGUAGUGUCUGCAGGCCACUCAGAAGGCGACCAAUAGAACCAACCUGGGGUUGCUCCGUGGCGCGGGUUCAGUGUCUUUCCUGUUCUGGGCUGAAGUAUCUCUUGGAAGAGGAGCAUCCUCUGCAGGGUGUCAGGAUGCGCAGGUCCCAAACCAGCUCUCAUCACCUGGUUGGAACGAAAUACUGAUGAUUGGGAACCCGCAGCCCUAGAUCCGCAGGAGUACCGGAGAUGGGUAACAUUCCAGAGAAAAACCAGGACCAGGCAGAAGAAUGAAGAG